rnacentral:rRNA from 1 species
AACGAACGUUAGCGGCGCGCCUAACACAUGCAAGUCGCACGAGAAAGGGCUUCGGCCCCGGUAAAGUGGCGCACGGGUGAGUAACACGUGGGUAAUCUGCCCUCGAGCGGGGGAUAACAUUCCGAAAGGAGUGCUAAUACCGCAUAAGACCACGACCUCGAAAGAGGAUGCGGUCAAAGCUGGCCUCUAUACAUAAGCUAGCACUUGAGGAUGAGCCCGCGGCGCAUCAGGUAGUUGGUGAGGUAAUGGCUCACCAAGCCGAAGACGCGUAGCUGGUCUGAGAGGAUGAUCAGCCACACUGGAACUGAGACACGGUCCAGACUCCUACGGGAGGCAGCAGUGGGGAAUCUUGCGCAAUGGGCGAAAGCCUGACGCAGCGACGCCGCGUGAGUGAUGAAGGCCUUCGGGUUGUAAAGCUCUGUGGGGCGAGACGAAUAAGUAGAAGCUAAUACCUUCUAUGAUGACGGUAUCGCCUUAGCAAGCACCGGCUAACUCUGUGCCAGCAGCCGCGGUAAAAC